CGAGACCUGCAGGUCAGGCGGGGCUACCCCGCUGAAUUUAAGCAUAUCAAUAAGCGGAGGAAAAGAAACUAACAAGGAUUCCCUUAGUAACGG
rnacentral:rRNA from 1 species